AACGAACGCUGGCGGCAUGCCUAACACAUGCAAGUCGAACGAGACCUUCGGGUCUAGUGGCGCACGGGUGCGUAACGCGUGGGAAUCUGCCCUUGGGUUCGGAAUAACAGUUGGAAACGACUGCUAAUACCGGAUGAUGACGUAAGUCCAAAGAUUUAUCGCCCAGGGAUGAGCCCGCGUAGGAUUAGCUAGUUGGUGGGGUAAAGGCCUACCAAGGCGACGAUCCUUAGCUGGUCUGAGAGGAUGAUCAGCCACACUGGGACUGAGACACGGCCCAGACUCCUACGGGAGGCAGCAGUGGGGAAUAUUGGACAAUGGGCGAAAGCCUGAUCCAGCAAUGCCGCGUGAGUGAUGAAGGCCGUAGGGUUGUAAAGCUCUUUUACCCGGGAUGAUAAUGACAGUACCGGGAGAAUAAGCCCCGGCUAACUCCGUG
rnacentral:rRNA from 1 species